AUGAACGCUGGCGGCGUGCUUAACACAUGCAAGUCGAACGAAGCACUUAUGACAGAUUCUUCGGAUGAUGGAAUAAGUGACUGAGUGGCGGACGGGUGAGUAACGCGUGGGUAACCUGCCUCAUACAGGGGGAUAACAGUUAGAAAUGACUGCUAAUACCGCAUAAGCGCACGGUAUCGCAUGAUACAGUGUGAAAAACUCCGGUGGUAUGAGAUGGACCCGCGUCUGAUUAGCUAGUUGGUGGGGUAACGGCCCACCAAGGCGACGAUCAGUAGCCGACCUGAGAGGGUGACCGGCCACAUUGGGACUGAGACACGGCCCAAACUCCUACGGGAGGCAGCAGUGGGGAAUAUUGCACAAUGGGCGAAAGCCUGAUGCAGCGACGCCGCGUGAGCGAAGAAGUAUUUCGGUAUGUAAAGCUCUAUCAGCAGGGAAGAAAAUGACGGUACCUGACUAAGAAGCACCGGCUAAAUACGUG
rnacentral:rRNA from 1 species